UCCCGAGGCGCUCACCCUGAUUGCACAGCGCUUCGGGCACCUCCUUUGGAGCCUCUGAGGAUAGUGCUACAGACCCCGGUGCCCCUGAUUGGGCAAUUUGAGUGUCUGCACUGACCCUGCUUGGGAGAUGGGCGGGGGCAGGGAUCACGUGGAAGAGCCGGGUGGAAACGUGGAUUCUCAGCUUCUGCCCUGUCCUUGUCCGGCCUUCUACCCUGGACGCGAAACUGCCUGCGCUGGAUGUGGCCUCCGAGCGGAACUCGCUCCCGGCUGGUCGGACUUGGCGUCAGCCCGCAGCUCCACGGUCCCUCUUCGUCCUCCUUUCUGGUCUCGGAUGUCCUGACUCAGUUUCCACGCGGAGCACCCCGUGUCUGGAGGCGGGACUGGACAGGACGCGGGAGGCUGGCAAUGACUGCCGGGCCAGGCUGCUACUCAUUGAAGGUGUUUGAGAGCACUAAGUGAAGAGGAACUGAUAUCAGUAGGACUUCCGACCUUAAGGAACAACCAAACCAAACAAAUAUGUCUAUUUCCCCCUCAAUUAUUUAUCAUUGCUUUAAUCUGUUAUAAGAUCAAGUCAGAAUAGACACUGAGCCCUAUAAAGUAUAAGAAUAAAUAUUGUGAUUGGA